UUCUGUAAGCCGUUGAAGGUGUGUCGUGAGGCAUGCUGGAGGUAUCAGAAGUGCGAAUGCUGACAUAAGUAACGAUAAAGCGGGUGAAAAGCCCGCUCGCCGGAAGACCAAGGGUUCCUGUCCAACGUUAAUCGGGGCAGGGUGAGUCGACCCCUAAGGCGAGGCCGAAAGGCGUAGUCGAUGGGAAACGGGUUAAUAUUCCCGUACUUGGUGUUACUGCGAAGGGGGGACGGAGAAGGCUAUGUUGGCCGGGCGACGGUAGUCCCGGUUUAAGCGUGUAGGCUGGUUUUCCAGGCAAAUCCGGAAAAUCAAGGCUGAGGCGUGAUGACGAGGCACCACGGUGCUGAAGCAACAAAUGCCCUGCUUCCAGGAAAAGCCUCUAAGCAUCAGGUAACAUCAAAUCGUACCCCAAACCGACACAGGUGGUCAGGUAGAGAAUACCAAGGCGCUUGAGAGAACUCGGGUGAAGGAACUAGGCAAAAUGGUGCCGUAACUUCGGGAGAAGGCACGCUGACACGUAGGUGAAGUGAUUUACUCAUGGAGCUGAAGUCAGUCGAAGAUACCAGCUGGCUGCAACUGUUUAUUAAAAACACAGCACUGUGCAAACACGAAAGUGGACGUAUACGGUGUGACGCCUGCCCGGUGCCGGAAGGUUAAUUGAUGGGGUCAGCGCAAGCGAAGCUCCUGAUCGAAGCCCCGGUAAACGGCGGCCGUAACUAUAACGGUCCUAAGGUAGCGAAAUUCCUUGUCGGGUAAGUUCCGACCUGCACGAAUGGCGUAAUGAUGGCCAGGCUGUCUCCACCCGAGACUCAGUGAAAUUGAACUCGCUGUGAAGAUGCAGUGUACCCGCGGCAAGACGGAAAGACCCCGUGAACCUUUACUAUAGCUUGACACUGAACAUUGAGCCUUGAUGUGUAGGAUAGGUGGGAGGCUUUGAAGCGUGGACGCCAGUCUGCGUGGAGCCGACCUUGAAAUACCACCCUUUAAUGUUUGAUGUUCUAACGUGGACCCGUAAUCCGGGUUGCGGACAGUGUCUGGUGGGUAGUUUGACUGGGGCGGUCUCCUCCUAAAGAGUAACGGAGGAGCACGAAGGUUGGCUAAUCCUGGUCGGACAUCAGGAGGUUAGUGCAAUGGCAUAAGCCAGCUUGACUGCGAGCGUGACGGCGCGAGCAGGUGCGAAAGCAGGUCAUAGUGAUCCGGUGGUUCUGAAUGGAAGGGCCAUCGCUCAACGGAUAAAAGGUACUCCGGGGAUAACAGGCUGAUACCGCCCAAGAGUUCAUAUCGACGGCGGUGUUUGGCACCUCGAUGUCGGCUCAUCACAUCCUGGGGCUGAAGUAGGUCCCAAGGGUAUGGCUGUUCGCCAUUUAAAGUGGUACGCGAGCUGGGUUUAGAACGUCGUGAGACAGUUCGGUCCCUAUCUGCCGUGGGCGCUGGAAGACUGAGGGGGGCUGCUCCUAGUACGAGAGGACCGGAGUGGACGCAUCACUGGUGUUCGGGUUGUCAUGCCAAUGGCACUGCCCGGUAGCUAAAUGCGGAAAAGAUAAGUGCUGAAAGCAUCUAAGCACGAAACUUGCCCCGAGAUGAGUCUUCCCUGAGACUUUGAGUCUCCUGAAGGAACGUUAAAGACGAUGACGUUGAUAGGCCGGGUGUGUAAGCGCAGCGAUGCGUUGAGCUAACCGGUACUAAUGAACCGUGAGGCUUAACCUUACAACGCCGAAGCUGUU
rnacentral:rRNA from 2 species